rnacentral:rRNA from 1 species
CGACCGGCGCACGGGUGAGUAACGCGUAUCCCAACCUCCCCACCACUUGGGGAUAACCUUGCGAAAGUAAGACUAAUACCCAAUGAUAUCUCUAGAAGACAUCUGAAAGAGAUUAAAGAUUUAUCGGUGAUGGAUGGGGAUGCGUCUGAUUAGCUUGUUGGCGGGGUAACGGCCCACCAAGGCGACGAUCAGUAGGGGUUCUGAGAGGAAGGUCCCCCACAUUGGAACUGAGACACGGUCCAA